rnacentral:rRNA from 1 species
UACGUAGGGUGCGAGCGUUGUCCGGAAUUAUUGGGCGUAAAGAGCUUGUAGGCGGUUUGUCGCGUCUGCCGUGAAAAUCCGGGGCUCAACCCCGGACUUGCGGUGGGUACGGGCAGACUAGAGUGUGGUAGGGGAGACUGGAAUUCCUGGUGUAGCGGUGAAAUGCGUAGAUAUCGUGUGGAACGCCAAUGGUGAAAACAGGCGACUGGGAGUGUGCUGACACUGAGACACGAAAGCCAGGGGAGCGAACGGG